rnacentral:misc_RNA from 1 species
CUGCGAGUUCGCGGGAGAGUAAGUUAUUGCCAGGGUUUUUAUUUUUUUUAAUGUUUAUGUUAUUUGAAUAAGCCAUUCAAAUAACAUAAAAAAGAAAAUAGAUAUUGACAUGGAUUAAACAAAGAUAUAUAUUAUUCUAUGUUGCAUAAACAAAUUGGCAAAGUAGAGAUGGAAGAUAAAAAUAUGGUCAAAGUAAUAAGAGUCUAUGGUGAAUGCCUAGGA